GACGAACGCUGGCGGCAUGCUUAACACAUGCAAGUCGAACGGAAAGGCCCUGCUUUUGUGGGGUGCUCGAGUGGCGAACGGGUGAGUAACACGUGAGUAACCUGCCCUUGACUUUGGGAUAACUUCAGGAAACUGGGGCUAAUACCGGAUAGGAGCUCCUGCUGCAUGGUGGGGGUUGGAAAGUUUCGGCGGUUGGGGAUGGACUCGCGGCUUAUCAGCUUGUUGGUGGGGUAGUGGCUUACCAAGGCUUUGACGGGUAGACGGCCUGAGAGGGUGACCGGCCACAUUGGGACUGAGAUACGGCCCAGACUCCUACGGGAAGCAGCAGUGGGGAAUAUUGCACAAUGGGCGGAAGCCUGAUGCAGCAACGCCGCGUGCGGGAUGACGGCCUUCGGGUUGUAAACCGCUUUCGCCUGUGACGAAGCGUGAGUGACGGUAAUGGGUAAAGAAGCACCGGCUAACUACGUG
rnacentral:rRNA from 1 species